rfam:Streptococcus dysgalactiae subsp. equisimilis RE378 DNA, complete genome.
UGAGCGUUAUAGACGUAGUAACAACGAAUGAUGAGAAGUCAGCCGAUGCCAUAGUAGCGAUGAAAUUUCUGUAAUGGAAGUAGAGCGAAGGGC